AUUGAACGCUGGCGGCAGGCCUAACACAUGCAAGUCGGACGAGAGGCGGACGGGUGAGUAAUGUAUGGGGAACUGCCUGAGGGAGGGGGAUAACUACUGGAAACGGUAGCUAAUACUGCAUCACAUCGUAUGUGACCAGAUGUGAUUAGCUUGUAGGUGGGGUAAAGGCUAACCUAGGCUACGAUCCCUAUCUGGUGUGAGAGGCUGAUCAGACAACCUGGAACUGAGACACGGCCCAGACUCCUACGGGAGGCAGCAGUGGGGAAUAUUGCACAAUGGGCGCAAGCCUGAUGCAGCCAUGCCGCGUGUAUGAAGAAGGCCUUCGGGUUGUAAAGUACUUUCAGUCGGGAGGCGUUACCGACCGAAGAAGCACCGGCUAACUCCGUGCCAGCAGCCGCGGUAAUUC
rnacentral:rRNA from 1 species